UACGAAGGGUGCAAGCGUUACUCGGAAUUACUGGGCGUAAAGCGUGCGUAGGCGGUUUGUUAAGUCUGUUGUGAAAGCCCCGGGCUCAACCUGGGAAUGGCAAUGGAAACUGGCGAGCUAGAGUACGGUAGAGGAGAGUGGAAUUCCCGGUGUAGCAGUGAAAUGCGUAGAGAUCGGCAGGAACACCCAGGGGGAAACCAGCCGACUGGGCAUCUACUGACGCUGAGGUGCGAGAGCGUGGGGAGCGAACCGG
rnacentral:rRNA from 1 species